ACUCAAAGGAAUAGACGGGGGCCCGCACAAGCAGCGGAGCGUGUGGUUCAAUUCGAUGCAACGCGAAGAACCUUACCUGGGCUUGACAUGCACGUGGUACGACCCUGAAAGGGGAAGGACCCGCAAGGGAGCGUGCACAGUUGCUGCAUGGCUGUCGUCAGCUCGUGCCGUGAGGUGUUGGGUUAAGUCCCGCAACGAGCGCAACCCUUGCCCUUAGUUAUCCAUCUAGGGGGACCGCCGAUCCAAAUCGGAGGAAGGUGGGGAUGACGUCAAGUCAGCACGGCACUUACGUCCAGGGCGACACACACGCUACAAUGGCCGGUACAACGGGCUGCGAAGGGGCGACCCGGAGCGAAUCCCACCAAAGCCGGUCUCAGUUCGGAUCGCAGGCUGCAACUCGCCUGCGUGAAGGCGGAGUUGCUAGUAACCGCUGGUCAGCACACAGCGGUGAAUACGUUCCCGGGCCUUGUACACACCGCCCGU
rnacentral:rRNA from 1 species